AUUAUACUUUUCAUCAAGAGUUCCCUCUUAUGUUGCUGCUUCCUGCCCUUCUGGGUUCCUAUGAUAUGUAGUUUCCAUCCUGGUCUCAUCCUGUUUGCCCCUUUGCGUAAAAGCUAAGGAGCCUGGCCCAUAACCUGCCACGGCUUUUCAAAGGCCCCAGAAGUCUGUAAACAGGAAAGAUUUCCUCUGAGGCAGAGGGCCCCUCCUUGAUCAAAAGAUGGCUUUUGGAUAAGGACUUCCCCCCAGUUCUUAGCCAUUAACACUUUGCAGAUCAGACGUUCUCUUGGAGGGCACAUUACUACCAUCCACGGCAGAGGGGCCGGCAUCUUGCCAGGAGUGCAAGGGCCCCACAGAAAUUGCAGGAAGGCCUGUUUCCGGAAGAGGCCCUUCUGCGUACGGAUUAAAGAUGGAGAUCACUACCACGUCUUUUCAAGCCUGUGGGAGGCACUGCAGUAUACUGUGCUAUUCCUUGCCAAGCAGUUUUCUCAGAUGCGCUACCGAAGGCCACUGCUAAUCCAUACUGAGCAUAUUUGCCAUCCUACACAGGGCUACGUCACAGGUUUGCUACAUUCAGGAGAUGGAUGGGGGCCUUUUGUGGAAGGAGGCGAAGAUGGAAUGGUCCUGCUUGCAUUUGCAUCUCGAAUGACUUGGAUUUAUUGUUUUAAACCAAGUUUCCUGCCUGUAAUAGAAUCAUUAAUAGAGCCUUCGUUUUUAUUGGGAACACAUGCGUGUUCAGAAGUGCCUAGUCACAUGUGCUAAGGAAAGGAUACAGAUAGAAGGACAGCACAUUUUAAUCACAUCUCUGUCCCCGUUUACCCUUUGGCAAGUUUCUUUAUCUUUAUAUGUUGUUGGUGAUUUCACUUUAAAAUGGAUCUGGUACAAAUAAACAAUUUCCCAAGGAUGUGUGAAUUAACCAGUGGUUAUAAAGAGCUUUGAAAUGAUGAUGUGCUAUCAAUGCUAAGUCAAAUUAUGAAAUUGCACCUUUGCAAAAAUGCUAUUGUGGAAAUAAAUGAAUCUGAACAUUGUAUUUACAGUGUGAUUUGCCUCUGAAA